CUUGAAAACAUGGACAACCGCAGCUUCGUGGACUAGAUCACCAGGUAAUCACGCAUUGGUUAUCGCGUUUACAUGUCACGCUUUUUUAGUGAAGGUGUUUGUAAAAUCAAAGCAAAAAAAAAAACAAAAAAACAGAAUGGACAAGCGUGACAGUGGCGAUGCCGUCACUCUAACGAUCUCGAUUGCACGCCAAUGUGACAUUUCGGAUCCCACCUGUAGACCUUGAUUUUCGUUUUUGUCAAUCCUCCGUGUUCGUUGAAAUGAAUAAAAAAGGCAAGAUGUUUUCGACGUGGAUGGGUAUAUCGCCUCAAUCGAAUGGAUGGCAAGCAGUUGAAAAUGUCCGCGUGCCAAAUUGCGCUAUCGUUGUAGGCGUGAUAGAGGCGCAAAAAACCCGUUAUCUUCUGUUGAACUUGAACUUGAAAAAGAACGAUCCGUCACGCAACAAAUCUCGUUUUUUCCGUGUUAAGAAAAAACAAAGGGCCUUGUAUUUUGUAUACGCAGCGCGUGUCGACUGCCAAUCGCUCAUUUCAAUUUUUGGCGAGUUUAUUUUUAAAAAACAAUCAUCCUCAAAUGCCCGUAUGAAAACAAGAAAAGAAACGCGAAGGGUCACGCAAGAUGCGUGAAAGAUCAUUGACCUACCCUAUACAAUUCCCUCCGUUCGUCCAAACCUGAUUUGAUUCUGACAAAUCGUUCGGAACGUGCGUUGCAUCACGAAAGCUUUCAAUGGAGGGCAUCGAUGAAAUGAAAACUUGAAAAGGAUUGAACCUGUCAAGAUGCUGUGCCUUUAGAACGCAGGAGAGACAAAGGACAAAUCCUCAUACAUAUUUAUGGAAGCAUUGCAUCACGUUCGUGAAAGAAGAUUUUCAAAAUUCAUGUCGGGAGUUUCAGGUUAUAUUUUCUCUGUGUCUCAUCCCGGAUUCGAAGUUGUCGCUGCUGAUAUCUGCACAAAUGUUUACAAACACAACAGUUAUCAUUGGAUACGCCAUUAAAUGCCACCCGUGUCGCAAUAAGGUCACAAACACGCACGCCCGGAAGCCGUGCCCAUUUUGAUUAGCUUUCUGAGUCACUUGGGGUGGUCAAGGCUUCCCGAGAGCUGUCGAGACAUGAGUUACUAUUUGUCUGCAGUCGGCCUGGGCUGUCGUGUUGGUGGAUCGGCUGGACGAGAGCCAAUCCGCGAGCCAGGAAUAGUCCGUGAGCAAAAUGCGAAGAAAAUUCAUCUGAGCGAGUUUCUUUUGGCGUGUUUUUUUGUUCGAUAUUUCAAUAGACGUUGGCAGUUGUUGUUUUUCAUCGACCGCUGCAUAGGGUUGAUGUUCGAACGCAGAAACUAUUCCCCAACACGCAAAACAUCGUUACAUUCUUCGGGAGAUGCCAGCAGCCGCACCUUUCAAAAAAUCCUGAGGCCACAUCAUCUCGUAUAUUAAUCGACUGCUAAUGAUUAUACUGAGACGAUAAUGACCUCCACUGACCCAGCCGACAUUGUUGUGCAAGUUUACCGGUAGUAGAGUUAUGCAGAUCGCAAAGUAGACGACACACCCAAGAGCCGGAAGUCGGUGGAGAACGUGACGUAGAGGAAGACGGAUAGGUCAACGAUCGUCUAUUUUUGUUGUUUUAUGUUGACAAAACGAUUCACGUUUGUAGAAUGCGUCGAAGCGAUAUGUGGGUUUGAAAAAUUCGCUAUCGCAUUUUUAUUUUCACGCGUUUGUCUACAUCCUUCUUUUAUUUUUAAAUUCCUGGAAAGGUUAAAAAUGUCCCUACGACCGACCCGCUCUAAUCUUGGCCAUCUAACAGUGAAGGCCAAGACGAUCUGCAGUGACCCAAAAUAUAAAAACUAUUUGAAAUUGCAAUCGUGAAAAUUCAAAUUUGAGUUCGAGGUCUUUGUCGGUUUGACCUCCCACGAUGACCAAAAAGAAAUGGUAACAAUGAUCAAGAAUUUUUCUGCUGAGUGCAACAAAAUAUUUCCAUCAUUGGCAAGGCAAUAACGCCGCAAUGUUUCUCACCUCGCAGAUGUUGCGGUCAUCUCACGCCGCCAAAAACUCAUCGGACAAAAGCUCAUUGUUAUAGUUUGUCUUUUCAUAAUUGAACCUGUCCGAUCGACACGUACACGCGCCUCGUUUUGUUUUCUACAUGCAAAAACCAGCAUCGUCAUUGUUCAUUACAAGCAACUGGAGGAGAUUGAAUCAAAAAGCUGUCGGCUUUGUUUUCGUACUUCGAAUAGGAUUUCCGAUUCCCUAACCAAAACCAGUCCGAUGGGAACAAUCAGAAUUUUUUUUCUUUGAUUUUCAUUUUUUAAGUGUAUAUACCAAACAUUGAGAAAUACAUCACUCGAAUGUUAGUGCGUACGUGGAUGUCGACAGAGCGAAACAUGGUUUACCCUAAAGCAAAAAUCUAUCUGAUUCACGUCCGGUCUGAAUAUGGAGCGCUCGGUGUUUGCUGUAUUAGCAAUAUCCCAGUAGGAAACUGUCAGUCUCAUGUCACGAGGUCAAAUUGUUAACGAGAAUGAAUGGGUUGGGUUUUUUUUUCUGAGUAUGUGAAUCUAUUUGCGCAAUCGAUUCUGCGUUAAUGUAUUCAAGUCUGAAUGAAGAUCGACGCAACGUCCGCUCGAGUCGUUGAGCGCCAAAGACAAUCGUUUCAUCAUAUUCUGGUAUACGUGAAGGGAAAUGUUUUUCUUUUCUGUUGAUGCCAAUCGCGGAUUUGAGAACAAUAAAGUGAAAAAAAAAUGGAAGGUGGUGUAGUCCUCCUGGCGCCUCCAUUUUUCUGAGCGGCCUUCAACUCUUGGGCAUUAACAGUAGGAAUCUGGUAAAACCACUCACCGCCUGCAUGUGCAAUUCCUCGUGGGGCGUUCGUCUUCAACUCUGACUAUAUUAGACGAGCAGGCAUAGAGCAGAAAAAUAUGGUGAUGCUGGUGGGGUUUUGCUAUUGUUGAGCCAAAUUUCCAACUCAAAUAUGGUUGUAUGAUUACAAUUUGGUACUGUUUUCGUGUUUUCUGUAUUUGCAUCAUAUGUUUUGAAAAGUCAAAACUUAAGUGCAACUCUAUAAAUGCUGUGAUAACAUAUUUGACUGGGAUAUGAUAGCGACAUAAGCGCUUUAAAUGUAGAUAUGCUUUUAAAGCAAACAAAGUAAA